UUAUUUUCAGGAAGCUUUCGGGUGGAAUGAACUUAACUUAGCGGCGGACGGGUGAGUAACGCGUGGACAACCUACCCUGUACAGGGGGAUAACAAUGGGAAACCAUUGCUAAUACCCCAUAACACCUUUUAGGGGCAUCCCUUUAAGGUCAAAGAAUUUCGGUACAGGAUGGGUCCGCGUCUGAUUAGCUAGUUGGUGAGGUAAUGGCUCAUCAAGGCGACGAUCAGUAGCCGGCCUGAGAGGGUGAACGGCCACACUGGAACUGAGACACGGUCCAGACUCCUACGGGAGGCAGCAGUGGGGAAUAUUGCACAAUGGGCGAAAGCCUGAUGCAGCAACGCCGCGUGAGCGAUGAAGGCUUUCGGGUCGUAAAGCUCUGUCCUAAGGGAAGAUAAUGACGGUACCUUAGGAGGAAGCCCCGGCUAACUACGUGCCAGCAGCCGCGGUAAUACGUAGGGGGCAAGCGUUAUCCGGAAUCAUUGGGCGUAAAGGGUGCGUAGGCGGCCCUAUAGGUCAGAGGUCAAAGGCUACGGCUCAACCGUAGUAAGCCUUUGAAACUGUAGGGCUUGAGUGCGGGGGAGGAGAGUGGAAUUCCUAGUGUAGCGGUGAAAUGCGUAGAUAUUGGGAGGAACACCAGUGGCGAAGGCGACUCUCUGGACUGCAACUGACGCUGAGGCACGAAAGCGUGGGGAGCGAACAGGAUUAGAUACCCUGGUAGUCCACGCCGUAAACGAUGAGUGCUAGGUGUCGGGGGUCGAACCUCGGUGCCGCAGCUAACGCAUUAAGCACUCCGCCUGGGGAGUACGUUCGCAAGAAUGAAACUCAAAGGAAUUGACGGGGACCCGCACAAGCAGCGGAGCAUGUGGUUUAAUUCGAAGCAACGCGAAGAACCUUACCUGGACUUGACAUCCCUCGGACCGCUUUUUAACCAAAGCCUUCCCUUCGGGGACUGAGGUGACAGGUGGUGCAUGGUUGUCGUCAGCUCG
rnacentral:rRNA from 1 species